rnacentral:rRNA from 1 species
UCCAUAGGUUAAUGAGGCGAACCGGGGGAACUGAAACAUCUAAGUACCCCGAGGAAAAGAAAUCAACCGAGAUUCCCCCAGUAGCGGCGAGCGAACGGGGAGGAGCCCAGAGCCUGAAUCAGCAUGUGUGUUAGUGGAAGCGUCUGGAAAGGCGCGCGAUACAGGGUGACAGCCCCGUACACAAAAGCGCAUGUGCUGUGAGCUCGAUGAGUAGGGCGGGACACGUGGUAUCCUGUCUGAAUAUGGGGGGACCAUCCUCCAAGGCUAAAUACUCCUGACUGACCGAUAGUGAACCAGUACCGUGAGGGAAAGGCGAAAAGAACCCCGGCGAGGGGAGUGAAAAAGAACCUGAAACCGUGUACGUACAAGCAGUGGGAGCCCCACCACCAAAGCAU